rnacentral:rRNA from 1 species
GACGAACGCUGGCGGCGUGCCUAAUACAUGCAAGUCGAGCGGACCAAACAGGAGCUUGCUCUUGUUUGGUUAGCGGCGGACGGGUGAGUAACACGUGGGUAACCUGCCCGUAAGACCGGGAUAACUCCGGGAAACCGGAGCUAAUACCGGAUAACACCGAAGACCGCAUGGUCUUUGGUUGAAAGGCGGCUUCGGCUGCCACUUACGGAUGGGCCCGCGGCGCAUUAGCUAGUUGGUGAGGUAACGGCUCACCAAGGCGACGAUGCGUAGCCGGCCUGAGAGGGUGACCGGCCACACUGGGACUGAGACACGGCCCAGACUCCUACGGGAGGCAGCAGUAGGGAAUCUUCCGCAAUGGACGAAAGGCUGACGGAGCGACGCCGCGGGAGCGAAGAAGGUCUUCGGAUCGUAAAGCUCGGUUGUUAGGGAAGAAGAAGCGCCGUUCGAACAGGGCGGCGCGGUGACGGUACCUAACGAGAAAGCCCCGGCUAACUACGUG